rnacentral:misc_RNA from 1 species
AAGUCGUAACAAGGUUUCCGUAGGUGAACCUGCGGAAGGAUCAUUACUGAGGUUACCGGGGGUGAGAUUUAGAUGGUUUGCUGCUGGCGUCUUCGGGCGCAUGUGCACGGCUGUCUUGCUCGCCUUCGUUCCUUCCAUCAACCCCUGUGCACUAUAUUAGGAUUAGAGAGAAGCGCGUCGUUAAGGGAUUAACCUAGUAUUUGUGGGUCCUGCCCCGGAGAAAGGUUAAUCUCUGAUCUGCGGCGCGUGGUAUCCCGACGUCCUUCUUAAACACAAAUCACUACAUAUGUCAUGUCAGAAUGUAAGUCCUUUAAUGGACGCUAAAUGUAAUACAACUUUCAACAACGGAUCUCUUGGCUCUC